UGCCAGACUCCUACGGGAGGCAGCAGUGAGGAAUAUUGGUCAAUGGGCGGAAGCCUGAACCAGCCAAGUCGCGUGAGGGAAGAAGGCCCUGCGGGUCGCAGACCUCUUUGGACGGGGAGCAAGGCCGCCGACGUGUCGGCGGAAGGAGAGUACCCGUAGAACAAGCAUCGGCUAACUCCGUGCCAGCAGCCGCGGUAAUACGUAGGUGGCGAGCGUUAUCCGGAUUUACUGGGUGUAAAGGGCGUGUAGGCGGGAGUGCAAGUCAGAUGUGAAAACUAUGGGCUCAACCCAUAGCCUGCAUUUGAAACUGUACUUCUUGAGUGCUGGAGAGGCAAUCGGAAUUCCGUGUGUAGCGGUGAAAUGCGUAGAUAUACGGAGGAACACCAGUGGCGAAGGCGGAUUGCUGGACAGUAACUGACGCUGAGGCGCGAAAGCGUGGGGAGCAAACAGGAUUAGAUACCCGCGUAAC
rnacentral:rRNA from 1 species